rnacentral:rRNA from 1 species
GACGAACGCUGGCGGCGUGCUUAAAAACAUGCAAGUCGAACGGACUUCUCAUGAAGCUUGCGAUUGAGAAGUUAGUGGCGGACGGGUGAGUAACGCGUGGGCAACCUGCCCCUGAGCCCGGGAUAACAGUUCGAAAGGACUGCUAAGACCGGAUAUACUUGCGGUGAAGCAUUUCACUGCAAGGAAAGGGAACGCUCAGGGAUGGGCCCGCGUCCCAUUAGCUAGUUGGUGAGGUAACGGCCCACCAAGGCGACGAUGGGUAGCCGGCCUGAGAGGGUGAACGGCCACACUGGGACUGAGACACGGCCCAGACUCCUACGGGAGGCAGCAGUUGGGAAUCUUCGGCAAUGGGCGCAAGCCCUGACCCGAGCAACGCCGCGUGAGUGAUGAAGGUUUUCGGAUUGUAAAGCUCUGUCUUCCGGGACGAUAAUGACGGUACCGGAGGAGGAAGCCACGGCUAACUACGUG